rnacentral:rRNA from 1 species
CAGCAGCAGCCACGGUAAUACGUAGGGUGCGAGCGUUAAUCGGAAUUACUGGGCGUAAAGCGUGCGCAGGCGGUUGUGUAAGACAGGUGUGAAAUCCCCGGGCUUAACCUGGGAACUGCGCUUGUGACUGCACAGCUAGAGUAUGGCAGAGGGAGGUGGAAUUCCACGUGUAGCAGUGAAAUGCGUAGAGAUGUGGAGGAACACCGAUGGCGAAGGCAGCCCCCUGGGCCAAUACUGACGCUCAUGCACGAAAGCGUGGGGAGCAAACAGGAUUAGAUACCCGAGUAGUCCCUGUCUCUUAUAC